CCACAGUAACUGGUACAGAGUGUGGGCCCGAUAUGUGAGAAUUGUUUGAGGUCACCUGAAAGUUGGGUGGAAUUCCCCCAUUUUACCAGAGAGCUCCUGAGCCUUGGAAGUUCAUUCAACAGACUUGAGAACCAGCCACAUGGUAGAUCUUGGGAAAAGAGAUGCCUCCCUGCCCUAUGGACUCUAAAGCAGUUCAGAAUGUAACUUAGGCCUCCUGAGUCAUUGGAAUUAUGGGCAUGUGCCACCACAGCUGGCCUGGUGCACUUUGUUUUAGAAGACAUCAUGGUGGCUAUUGCAUGGAGAACAUUGUGGAAAAGCACAAUAUAUCAGCGACAUUGAAGAACUUGGGCUGCGGUGGUCCAGGACAGAGACCAGCAUGUCAGGCAACGGAGAGGGAGGGAAGCUAUUCUAAAAGGCACCAGGGAAGUAGGAAGCAGGUUCCAGACCACAGGUGUGGGGUGUAACCAUCCUUUGAAAGAGGGACUCUCCCCUGGUUCCUGUCCUCAUCUGAGAGCCAAGUGCUGCUGGCCUUGGGUGUGGUGCGGACUGUGGGUCAAUGUCUGGUGCAGCACUUGCGUUGCCGAUCCUCUUCAGCAUCCCAGUUUCUACAUCACCCCCAGUGCUACCUUUGCUUUGACUUGUAGUUAGCUUUCCUUUGUCCCAUCUCUGCUUUUCUCUUAUCUUUGUGUUUUUCCUUCAUUUUGCAAGAAUGUACUUUCUUUGCAAUUUUUUCCCAGCAAAACAAAUGCGCCUGACCACCAGACUGAUGUCCCACUGCUGGAAGAGUCCAGAGCACCAUUUGCCCGUUCACUCCCCAACCAGCACACCAUGGAAGUUGAAUUCUAAAGAGUUCUCAAGCGCAGGUCAACUCCAGUCCUGAUACUGGGCUGUUGCUGAGACAGACGCCAGUAGGAAAGCCAUGGUCUGUUCACUGCUGCUCUGGCCAUCCAUCACCGGCACUCUCAGGGACCUACACCGUCUGGUAACAAAGCAUUUACCUGAAGUCAGGAACACUCGGCUCCAGGGGAACUCGCGCUUUCUGUAGGUAGAGCUUUGUGUCCGUCACCAGUACGUGUGAGCCUGAGCCAGGACAGACCUGAGGGGCUGAUCAUUCGGUGCUUUCGUGGUAGGAAACGGAAGCCAAGGUCAAAAGGGCUCUUUGGUAAGCCAGCUCAAGUGGUCAGCAAUAGGUUCUGUCAGUUCCUAGGUGCAGUAAUUCAGGAUUGCCUGUCCUAAUUUUUAUUAAAUUCCCAACACAUGCUAAUGGAAGCCGAUGUGGUUCGUUGCUUAUUUCUUUCUAGGUCAUGAGAAGGAAGAACUAUCUUUAAUAGGCUAUUUCUUCAUUGCCAGGGAACUUUAAAAAAAAAAAAAAAAAAGAGGGACC